rnacentral:rRNA from 1 species
GUCCACGCCGUAACGAUGGGCACUAGGUGUAGGAGGUAUUGACCCCUUCUGUGCCGAAGCUAACGCAUUAAGUGCCCGCCUGGGAGUACGGCCGCAAGGCUAAACUCAAAGGAAUUGACGGGCCCGCACAAGCGGUGGAGCAUGUGGUUUAAUUCGACGCAACGCGAAGAACCUUACCUGGGCUUGACAUCCGCUGAUCUUCCUGGAGACAGGAUUUUCCCCGCAAGGGGACAGCGAGACAGGUGCUGCAUGGCUGUCGU